AACGAACGCUGGCGGCGUGCCUAACACAUGCAAGUCGAACGGAGUUAGAGAGCUUGCUCUUUAAUUUAGUGGCGCACGGGUGAGUAACGCGUAGAUAAUCUACCCUUUGGCGGGGGAUAACGUUCCGAAAGGAGCGCUAAUACCGCAUAAGACCACGGAGUCUCCGGACGCUGUGGGAAAAGGUGGCCUCUUCUUGAAAGCUACCACCGAAGGAUGAGCCUGCGUCCCAUCAGCUAGUUGGUAAGGUAAUGGCUUACCAAGGCGAAGACGGGUAGCUGGUUUGAGAGAAUGAUCAGCCACACUGGCACUGGAACACGGGCCAGACUCCUACGGGAGGCAGCAGUGAGGAAUAUUGGGCAAUGGGCGAAAGCCUGACCCAGCCACGCCGCGUGAGUGAUGAAGGCCCUCGGGUCGUAAAGCUCUGUGGAGAGGGACGAAAACCCUGGUUUCAAAUAGGCUCCAGGCUUGACGGUACCUCUUUAGCAAGCACCGGCUAACUCUGUGCCAG
rnacentral:rRNA from 1 species